CCCAACUCCUCAGGGCUCGCUGGGCUUCAGCACCGUGUGGCUGCUCCUCCCAGCCACUUCAAGCUGAGAACUCAGCCCUCGAGAUCCUGCCCUGAGCCCAGCGUCUGCUCUGCUUCUGGACUUCAUUCACCUGUCUACUUGGAGUGGUCACCUCAUGCUGUGAUUAGCUUCCUCUGCCCAGCUGUGGUCCUGUCUAGCCCGGAGUCAUGGCAAAGAUUGAACCCAGGCAUGCUCAGCUACAUUUUCAAGCCGGCUUGUUAAAUUCUGACAUAGGUCCGGUGCUUUGGACGGACUUCUAGAGUUUAGGCCAAUCCUCUAGCCUCUCUUCUCAUGGUCAACAGAGGGCAGAAGACGUUGAACUCACAGGUCACCAUUUCAAGGUCUCCACGGAGCCCAUGGAUUCCUGGGGAAUGUCGGAAAUAAAUGAUUCUGCCUGCAGAAAGUCAUCUAGGGCCAAGUCCAUCUGUUGCAGGUUUCUGUAAAUGGGAAGAAUCCCAAGUGCCACCUCCGGGUGCUGGGAUUAAAGGUGUGCGCCACACCCAGCUUUGUUCUUGAUGAUUUUACAGUGUGAGAAAAGAGAGUGGAGCCAGAGGCAGGAGGAUCAGGAGUCAAGGUCAUCCUUGGCUAUACAAUGAGUUCAUGUCCAGUUUGGACUACAUAAGACCCUAUCUCAGAAAAUCCAAUUCCCACUCCCCUCAAAAAGAAAAUAAGGGGAUCAUGAGGUUGUGGAAAGUGUAGAAAGCCCCAAUUCUGUGAGGUCCUGAGUAAAUGUAUAUUGUUGACAUGAGUAUGGCUGUGUCAAGGCCCCUAGUCUCUAACCCAGAGAGAAACUUCAAAACCUUCCCUGUAUUCCAUGUGAGGAUGUUGAUAGUCUGCAGAAAAUGUCCACCAUAGCUUUCUCCUCCCUGGAUGUCUAAGGGCUGAGGAUUGCUCCCCUGCAGAGACUGCUCCCGUGGAGGUUAGCUAAGCCCACCUCCUAGAUCCAGCUGUAUGCCAUAAACCCUGCCUCCUUGUUUAUCUGCAUAUAAUAGCUCUGCCUCCUUGUUCAGCGGUGUGCCUGAAAGUUAUCUUUCCAGAGAGCGUAAGUCAGCAACCUCUGCCCAGCACAGGGCAACUUGUCAAGUACCUCAAGAAACAGAAGCCUUCCUGCCCCUGGGCUGUGCUAGAAAGAGGCACCUGUUCAGUCUUUGGCUACUAUCAGAACUCUUGACUAAUACAUUGAUCUUUAAGACCAUGUGUUCAGACCUGGUGAGCCUCUAAAACAAGUUCCCUAGUCAUCUCAUUAGGGACUCCAUGUAUAAUGAGACUUCAAAUUUCUGUUCAAAAGGCUCAUUGCAACUUAAAAAGAACAUACUUCACACAUUCAUGGCCAAAAGAGGCCAAAGACUCUCUUUCGGAAUCCUGCUUGUUGGAUUCUGUGCCUACCUAUAAAGCAUAGAGCGUUACAUUUUUGUUUUGUUUUGAGACAGGGUUUCUCUGUCUAUCCCUGGCUGUCCUGG